AUUGAACGCUGGCGGCAUGCCUUACACAUGCAAGUCGAACGGCAGCAUGAUCUAGCUUGCUAGAUUGAUGGCGAGUGGCGAACGGGUGAGUAAUACAUCGGAACGUGCCCUGUAGUGGGGGAUAACUAGUCGAAAGAUUAGCUAAUACCGCAUACGACCUGAGGGUGAAAGUGGGGGACCGCAAGGCCUCAUGCUAUAGGAGCGGCCGAUGUCUGAUUAGCUAGUUGGUGAGGUAAAGGCUCACCAAGGCGACGAUCAGUAGCUGGUCUGAGAGGACGAUCAGCCACACUGGGACUGAGACACGGCCCAGACUCCUACGGGAGGCAGCAGUGGGGAAUUUUGGACAAUGGGGGCAACCCUGAUCCAGCAAUGCCGCGUGUGUGAAGAAGGCCUUCGGGUUGUAAAGCACUUUUGUCCGGAAAGAAAUCGCACUUACUAAUAUUAGGUGUGGAUGACGUACCGAA
rnacentral:rRNA from 1 species